UACGAAGGGGGCAAGCGUUGUUCGGAAUUACUGGGCGUAAAGCGUGCGCAGGCGGUUUGCUAAGACCGAUGUGAAAUCCCCGGGCUUAACCUGGGAACUGCAUUGGUGACUGGCAGGCUAGAGUAUGGCAGAGGGGGGUAGAAUUCCACGUGUAGCAGUGAAAUGCGUAGAUAUGCGGAGGAACACCGAUGGCGAAGGCAAUCCCCUGGGCCUGCACUGACGCUCAUGCACGAAAGCGUGGGGAGCAAACAGG
rnacentral:rRNA from 1 species